AUUUUAAUAAGUGGUAGCACUGAAGAUGGUUAACUGUGACAAGUGUUGGAAUGUAAUCAUUACACAAAGAUUACUGUUGUUUCUUGCUUAACAUCACAGGUUUUUGAAUGAAAAGCCUCUAAUGAAGGGAGAUAAAAUCAUCAAAGAAGUUCAAAACGGAGGACAGGUUGUCGCCAUACAAGACAGUGGACCCAUUAUCCGUGACUGGCAAAACAAAUCGUUGACAUGGAACCUAACUUAUCCCAAAGGCUCGGUAGAGGAAUGCAUCAGCUGGAUGGCGAACAGAGACUGCUAGUAUAAGUUCGUGACAUAUUCUUUAGGAUUUGGAUUUUUAAAACUAAUAAUAACAUUAUGAUUAAAAGUAAUCAAAAACAUAUGAAGAAUAAUCUCAUAUACAAAUUAUUUUUUCAUAUAUAACAAUAUCAAAAGUUGAAAGCUCUUA